rnacentral:rRNA from 1 species
AUUGAACGCUGGCGGCAUGCUUUACACAUGCAAGUCGAACGGCAGCGCGGGCUUCGGCCUGGCGGCGAGUGGCGAACGGGUGAGUAAUGCAUCGGAACGUGCCCAGUAGUGGGGGAUAGCCCGGCGAAAGCCGGAUUAAUACCGCAUACGACCUGAGGGUGAAAGCGGGGGACCGAAAGGCCUCGCGCUAUUGGAGCGGCCGAUGUCGGAUUAGCUAGUUGGUGGGGUAAAGGCUUACCAAGGCGACGAUCCGUAGCUGGUCUGAGAGGACGACCAGCCACCCCUGGACUGGGACCCCGCCCCAGCUUCCUCCGGGGGGCACCGGGGGGAAUUUUUGACCAUGGGGGGCAACCCGGUCCCAGCAUGCCGCGUGCGGGAAGAAGGCCUUCGGGUUGUAAACCGCUUUUGUUCGGGAAGAAAUCCUCUGGGCUAAUACCCCGGGGGGAUGACGGUACCGGAAGAAUAAGCACCGGCUAACUACGUG